rnacentral:rRNA from 1 species
UACGUAUGUCCCGAGCGUUAUCCGGAUUUAUUGGGCGUAUAGCGAGCGCAGGCGGUUAGAUAAGUCGUAAGUGAAAGGCUGUGGCUUAACCAUAGUAUGCUUUGGAAACUGUUUAACUUGAGUGCAGAAGGGGAGAGUGGAAUUCCAUGUGUAGCGGUGAAAUGCGUAGAUAUAUGGAGGAACACCGGUGGCGAAAGCGGCUCUCUGGUCUGUAACUGACGCUGAGGCUCGAAAGCGUGGGGAGCAAACAGG